GACGAACGCUGGCGGCGUGCCUAAUACAUGCAAGUUGAGCGAUGAAGAUUGGUGCUUGCACCAAUUUGAAGAGCAGCGAACGGGUGAGUAACGCGUGGGGAAUCUGCCUUUGAGCGGGGGACAACAUUUGGAAACGAAUGCUAAUACCGCAUAAUAACUUUAAACAUAAGUUUUAAGUUUGAAAGAUGCAAUUGCAUCACUCAAAGAUGAUCCCGCGUUGUAUUAGCUAGUUGGUGAGGUAAAGGCUCACCAAGGCGAUGAUACAUAGCCGACCUGAGAGGGUGAUCGGCCACAUUGGGACUGAGACACGGCCCAAACUCCUACGGGAGGCAGCAGUAGGGAAUCUUCGGCAAUGGACGAAAGUCUGACCGAGCAACGCCGCGUGAGUGAAGAAGGUUUUCGGAUCGUAAAACUCUGUUGGUAGAGAAGAACGUUGGUGAGAGUGGAAAGCUCAUCAAGUGACGGUAACUACACAGAAAGGGACGGCUAACUACGUG
rnacentral:rRNA from 1 species